GUGAGGAAUAUUGGUCAAUGGGCGGGAGCCUGAACCAGCCAAGUCGCGUGAAGGAAGAAGGAUCUAUGGUUCGUAAACUUCUUUUGCAGGGGAAUAAAGUGCAGGACGUGUCCUGUUUUGUAUGUACCCUGAGAAUAAGGAUCGGCUAACUCCGUGCCAGCAGCCGCGGUAAUACGGAGGAUCCGAGCGUUAUCCGGAUUUAUUGGGUUUAAAGGGUGCGUAGGUGGUUUGAUAAGUCAGCGGUGAAAGUUUGCAGCUUAACUGUAAAAAUGCCGUUGAAACUGUCGGACUUGAGUGUAAAUGAGGUAGGCGGAAUGCGUGGUGUAGCGGUGAAAUGCAUAGAUAGCACGCAGAACUCCGAUUGCGAAGGCAGCUUACUAAGCUACAACUGACACUGAAGCACGAAAGCGUGGGGAUCAAACAGGAUUAGAAACCCUUGUAGUCC
rnacentral:rRNA from 1 species